UGGGGGAGUAUUGCACAAUGGGGGAAACCCGUAGAUGCAGCGACGCCGCGUGGAGGAAGAAGGUUUUCGGUAUUGUAAACUCCUGUCGUUAGGGACGAUAAUGACGGUACCUGACUAAGAAGCACCGGCUAAAUACGUGCCAGCAGCCGCGGUAAUACGUAUGGUGCAAGCGUUAUCCGGAUUUACUGGGUGUAAAGGGAGCGCAGGCGGUGCGGCAAGUCUGAUGUGAAAGCCCGGGGCUCAACCCCGGUACUGCAUUGGAAACUGUCGUACUAGAGUGUCGGAGGGGUAAGUGGAAUUCCUAGUGUAGCGGUGAAAUGCGUAGAUAUUAGGAGGAACACCAGUGGCGAAGGCGGCUUACUGGACGAUAACUGACGCUGAGGCUCGAAAGCGUGGGGAGCAAACAGGAUUAGAUACCCUGGUAGU
rnacentral:rRNA from 1 species